CCUACGGGCGGCAGCAGUGAGGAAUAUUGGUCAAUGGCCGUAAGCCUGAACCAGCCAAGUCGCGUGAAGGAAGACGGAGCUAUGGUUUGUAAACUUCUUUUAUAGGGGAGUAAAGGUAUCCACGUGUGGAUAUUUGCAUGUACCCUAUGAAUAAGCAUCGGCUAACUCCGUGCCAGCCGCCGCGGUAAUAAGGAGGAUGCGAGCGUUAUCCGGAUUUAUUUGGUUUAAAGGGUGCGUAGGUUGUUUUUUAAGUCAGCCGUGAAAGUGUGUGUCUCAACCAUAACUUUGCCGUUGAAACGGGAAGACGUGAGUGUGUUUGAGGUAGGCGGAAUGCGUGGUGUAGCGGUGAAAUGCAUAGAUAUCACGCAGAACUCCGAUUGCGAAGGCAGCUUACUAAGCCAUAACUGACACUGAAGCACGAAAGCGUGGGGAUCAAACAGGAUUAGAUACCCUAGUAGUC
rnacentral:rRNA from 1 species